CAACAAUAAAAAUCGCAAGAUACUAUGGAGAGAAGGAGAUAUUGGGAGUACUGACAUUGAAAAGCGAUUGGAAGAACCAGCAUCAUCCGGAUUAGUUAACAUAUGAACAGUUUCUAAUCCCACUAGACCGUUCAGAACAGCCCUCCCAACGUUUUUAUAACUCAAUCCUUGCUGAUCAGCCUGAGCCCUUGGCGACACCAACUGAGGUUGAUUGUAAUCAGAGGGAACUGUCGACGAAGGAAGUGAUCCACCGUAUUCUUGUGGAUGCAUCAUUGAUGUAUGCGAAACCGCAUUGCAGGACUUUGAAUAUUUCAAAGGGUAUCUAGAGGAAUACGCAUUGUGCAUCUCAUUAAAAUUUGCAUGAGGAAUCGUUUGCAUCGAAUCAAUAGGAGAUCUAUUAACCUGCAUUGGAGGUCGGGGAUACGAGCUAUUUUGAGGAACCGAAUGGCAAUUAUGGGGAGCAUCUGGAAAAUAAGCUUGUUGAGAAGGAGUACCGAUGCUACUCCUUUUCAAUAUAGGCGGAACAUUGCGAUGUCCUGGAGUGUUACCAGGAGGACCUAGCAAAGACAAUGAAGCCGGUUGGGAGGGUGCGGUCAAAGAAGCUUGAAUGACCGAGGUGUAUUCUGAUAAGCGUUUUUGCAAAAUCUUGUUUUCUUCGAUUAACUUUUUAUUUUUUGAUUGUAAACUUUUUAUAUACUCGGUAGCUUUUGACAAAAUGGUAGCUUUGUUCAGCUUUCGCGAUAAGGGAACGUAAGUACCCUUAAGCUCAUCUGCUGUAGUAGAAUUGUAUCCAGAGCGCAGAGUCGGUACUGCAUCCCUUAG